rnacentral:rRNA from 1 species
UGGGGAAUAUUGCACAAUGGGGGAAACCCUGAUGCAGCGACGCCGCGUGAACGAAGAAGGUAUUCGUAUCGUAAAGUUCUGUCCUAUGGGAAGAUAAUGACAGUACCAUAGAAGAAAGCUCCGGCUAAAUACGUGCCAGCAGCCGCGGUAAUACGUAUGGAGCGAGCGUUGUCCGGAUUUAUUGGGCGUAAAGGGUACGCAGGCGGUUUAAUAAGUCGAAUGUUAAAGAUCGGGGCUCAACCCCGCAAAGCAUUGGAAACUGAUAAACUUGAGUAGUGGAGAGGAAAGUGGAAUUCCUAGUGUAGUGGUGAAAUACGUAGAUAUUAGGAGGAAUACCAGUAGCGAAGGCGACUUUCUGGACACAAACUGACGCUGAGGUACGAAAGCGUGGGGAGCAAACAGG